rnacentral:rRNA from 1 species
UACGAAGGGGGCUAGCGUUGCUCGUAAUCACUGGGCGUAAAGCGCACGUAGGCGGAUUGUUAAGUCAGGGGUGAAAUCCUGGAGCUCAACUCCAGAACUGCCUUUGAUACUGGCGAUCUCGAGUCCGGGAGAGGUGAGUGGAACUGCGAGUGUAGAGGUGAAAUUCGUAGAUAUUCGCAAGAACACCAGUGGCGAAGGCGGCUCACUGGCCCGGUACUGACGCUGAGGUGCGAAAGCGUGGGGAGCAAACAGG